rnacentral:rRNA from 1 species
ACGGAAGGCAGCAGUGGGGGAUAUUGCACAAUGGAGGAAACUCUGAUGCAGCAACGCCGCGUGAGGGAAGACGGUCUUCGGAUUGUAAACCUAAGUUAUCAGGGACGAAGAAAUGACGGUACCUGAGGAGAAAGCUCCGGCUAACUACGUGCCAGCAGCCGCGGUAAUACGUAGGGAGCGAGCGUUGUCCGGAUUUACUGGGUGUAAAGGGUGCGUAGGCGGGUUUGCAAGUCAGGCGUGAAAUCCCACGGCUUAACUGUGGGGCUGCGCUUGAAACUGUGAAUCUUGAGUGAAGUAGAGGCAAGCGGAAUUCCUAGUGUAGCGGUGAAAUGCGUAGAUAUUAGGAGGAACACCAGUGGCGAAGGCGGCUUGCUGGGCUUUAACUGACGCUGAGGCACGAAAGCAUGGGGAGCAAACAGGAUUAGAUACCCUGGUA